UGGAAAACUAGUGUUGCUGCUGUAACUGCUACUGGUUUCCUGGUGAUCAUGCUCAUCUUCGUCUUCCUGUGGAUUAGAAGAAGGAAGGGCUCCAAACAACCAUCUGAAGCUAGACAAAGCUCAGACAACAAUCUACAGUUAAACCCUUUGUAUGACAACACAUCAGCUGCAGCACAGACACAACAGACAGGGCAGCAGGAUGAGCUUCACUACACCUCCGUCCACUUCU